rnacentral:rRNA from 1 species
AUUGAACGCCGGCGGCAGGCCUAACACAUGCAAGUCGAAUGGUAACAGGAAACAGCUUGCUGUUUCGCUGACGAGUGGCGGACGGGUGAGUAAUGUCUGGGAAACUGCCUGAUGGAGGGGGAUAACUACUGGAAACGGUAGCUAAUACCGCAUAACGUCGCAAGACCAAAGAGGGGGACCUUCGGGCCUCUUGCCAUCAGAUGCGCCCAGAUGGGAUUAGCUAGUAGGUGGGGUAACGGCUCACCUAGGCGACGAUCCCUAGCUGGUCUGAGAGGAUGACCAGCCACACUGGAACUGAGACACGGUCCAGACUCCUACGGGAGGCAGCAGUGGGGAAUAUUGCACAAUGGGCGCAAGCCUGAUGCAGCCAUGCCGCGUGUAUGAAGAAGGCCUUCGGGUUGUAAAGUACUUUCAGCGGGGAGGAAGGGAGUAAAGUUAAUACCUUUGCUCAUUGACGUUACCCGCAGAAGAAGCACCGGCUAACUCCGUG